GUCUUUUCCGGCGGGCGCCUGCGCAGUGUACAGACGAGGAAGCCAGUUGCUCUGAGAGAAAUAAAGAAGCAGAUCACCAGGUCUUUCUCCAGUGGAGCUGCUGGGAUUGACCUCUCAAUACUCAUCCUGCCUGAGAAUGAAGCCAGGAGGAAGAGGAGUAAAGAAAGAGGCAUCCAGAAUGGCUAUU